rnacentral:rRNA from 1 species
CCUGGCUCAGGACGAACGCUGGAGGCGCGCCUAACACAUGCAAGUCGAACGAGCGAGAGAGAGCUUGCUUUCUCGAGCGAGUGGCGAACGGGUGAGUAACGCGUGAGGAACCUGCCUCAAAGAGGGGGACAACGGUUGGAAACGACUGCUAAUACCGCAUAAGCCCACGACCCGGCAUCGGGUAGAGGGAAAAGGAGCAAUCCGCUUUGAGAUGGCCUCGCGUCCGAUUAGCUAGUUGGUGAGGUAAUGGCCCACCAAGGCGACGAUCGGUAGCCGGACUGAGAGGUUGAACGGCCACAUUGGGACUGAGACACGGCCCAGACUCCUACGGGAGGCAGCAGUGGGGAAUAUUGCACAAUGGGGGAAACCCUGAUGCAGCGACGCCGCGUGGAGGAAGAAGGUCUUCGGAUUGUAAACUCCUGUUGUUGAGGAAGAUAAUGACGGUACUCAACAAGGAAGUGACGGCUAACUACGUGCCAGCAGCCGCGGUAAAACGUAGGUCACAAGCGUUGUCCGGAAUUACUGGGUGUAAAGGGAGCGCAGGCGGGAAGGCAAGUUGGAAGUGAAAUCCAUGGGCUCAACCCAUGAACUGCUUUCAAAACUGUUUUUCUUGAGUAGUGCAGAGGUAGGCGGAAUUCCCGGUGUAGCGGUGGAAUGCGUAGAUAUCGGGAGGAACACCAGUGGCGAAGGCGGCCUACUGGGCACCAACUGACGCUGAGGCUCGAAAGUGUGGGUAGCAAACAGGAUUAGAUACCCUGGUAGUCCACACUGUAAACGAUGAUUACUAGGUGUUGGAGGAUUGACCCCUUCAGUGCCGCAGUUAACACAAUAAGUAAUCCACCUGGGGAGUACGACCGCAAGGUUGAAACUCAAAGGAAUUGACGG